UACGUAGGAGGCGAGCGUUGUCCGGAGUUACUGGGCGUAAAGCGUGCGCAGGCGGUUUUGUAAGCCAGAUGUGAAAUCCCCGGGCUUAACCUGGGAAUGGCAUUUGGGACUGCAAGGCUCGAGUGCGGCAGAGGAGACUGGAAUUCCUGGUGUAGCAGUGAAAUGCGUAGAUAUCAGGAGGAACAUCGAUGGCGAAGGCAGGUCUCUGGGCUGACACUGACGCUCAUGCACGAAAGCGUGGGGAGCAAACAGG
rnacentral:rRNA from 1 species